rnacentral:rRNA from 1 species
UUAGUGGCGGACGGGUGAGUAACGCGUGGAAAACCUGCCGUAUACUGGGGGAUAACACUUAGAAAUAGGUGCUAAUACCGCAUAAGCGCACAGCUUCGCAUGAAGUGGUGUGAAAAACUCCGGUGGUAUACGAUGGUUCCGCGUCUGAUUAGCUUGUUGGCGGGGUAGGGGCCCACCAAGGCGACGAUCAGUAGCCGGCCUGAGAGGGUGGACGGCCACAUUGGGACUGAGACACGGCCCAAACUCCUACGGAAGGCAGCAG